UACGUAGGGGGCUAGCGUUGUCCGGAAUCAUUGGGCGUAAAGCGUGCGCAGGCGGUUCGCUGUGUCCUGUGUGAAAGCCCCGGGCUUAACCUGGGAAUGGCAUGGGAAACUGGCGAGCUUGAGUGCGGCAGAGGGGGGUGGAAUUCCGCGUGUAGCAGUGAAAUGCGUAGAGAUGCGGAGGAACACCGAUGGCGAAGGCAGCCCCCUGGGUCGGCACUGACGCUCAGGCACGAAAGCGUGGGGAGCAAACAGG
rnacentral:rRNA from 1 species